UACGGAGGGUGCAAGCGUUAAUCGGAAUUACUGGGCGUAAAGCGCACGCAGGCGGCUGAGUCAGUCGAUUGUGAAAGCCCUGGGCUUAACCUGGGAAUUGCAGUCGAUACUACUCAGCUCGAGUAUGGGAGAGGGUAGUGGAAUUCCCGGUGUAGCGGUGAAAUGCGUAGAUAUCGGGAGGAACAUCAGUGGCGAAGGCGGCUACCUGGCCCAGUACUGACACUCAGGUGCGACAGCGUGGGGAGCAAACAGG
rnacentral:rRNA from 1 species